UGUGCGCAUUUUCAUGUGCUUACAUAAGUACCGUCGUAUGUAAAAGUGUAUCAUUCGUUUAUAAUCUAUCUCUCAGUCUAAAUGAAUUGAUUCAAUUUACAUUAGUGUUAAAUUUCCUAUGACGAGCCAUCAUAGGGUCAGGCCAUGUCACUGACUCACCUCGAGAUAACGAUGUCGUUCGUGUAAGGACACUGGCAUACACUGGCUUGCAUAAUAUGGUGCAAGGCUCAUGUGCAGUUGAUGUCGACACAAAAGGGAAGGAAUUAAGCAGUGCGGAUCGUGCUGUCCGUGUGUUUGAUCCAAUUAAUUGGUGUCGUGUCUUCGUUUGAUAUAGUACACAUAAGUAAAUU